CAGCUGCAAAAUUAGCUAAAAAUGUAAAAUAAAAAGUUAGCAUGCUGAUAUAAGCAAGCUAACAUUUAGCAUGUGUUAAGUAUCAAGUUAUAGGACUCUAAAGUGUUCGGCUGCAAAAUAAGUUAAAAAAAAAAGUAAACAUGCUAACACAGGCAUGCUAGUAUGAGCAUGUUAACAGUUAAUGUGUGUCAAAUUUUAAACUAUACGACUCUUAGCUGUACGGCUGCGAAAUUAGCUAAAAAUGUAAAAUAAAAAGUUAGCAUGCUGAUAUGAGCAUGCUAACAUUUAGCAUGUGUUAACUAUCAAGUUAUAUGACUAAGGUGAACGGCUGCAAAAUUAGCUAAACAUUUUCAAUAAAAUGUUAGCAUGUGUCAAGUAUUAAAUUUAAUGACUAAAUGUGUACGCUGCAAAAUUAGUUAAAAAUGUAAAAUUAAAAGUUAGCAUGCUAGCAUGGUAACAGUUAACAUGUGUCAAGUAUCAAACUAUAUGACUAAGGUGUAUGGCAGCAAAAUUAGCUAGUCACAUAAAAUAAAAACUUAGCAUGCUAAUAUGAGCAUGCCAACAGUUAAUAUGUGUCAAAUAUUAAACUAUAUGACUCUUAGCUGUACAGCUGCAAAAUUAGCUAAAAAUGUAAAAUAAAAAGUUAGCAUGCUGAUAUAAGCAUGCUAACAUUUAGCAUGUGUUAAGUAUCAAGUUAUAGGACUCUAAUGUGUUCGGCUCCAAAAUAAGCUAAAAAUGUAAAAUAAAAAGUUAGCAUGCUGAUAUAAGCAUGGUAACAUUUAGCAUGUGUUAAGUAUCAAGUUAUAGGACUCUAAAGUAUUCGGCUGCAAAAUAAGCUAAAAAAAAAGUAAACAUGCUAACACAGGCAUGCUAGUAUGAGCAUGUUAACAGUUAAUGUGUGUCAAAUAUUAAACUAUAUGACUCUUAGCUGUACGGCUGCGAAAUUAGCUAAAAAUGUAAAAUAAAAAGUUAGCAUGCUGAUACAAGCAUGCUAACAUUUAGUGGGUGCUAACUAUCAAGUUAUAUGAUUAAGGUGUACGGCUGCAAAAUUAGCUAAACAUUUUCAGUAAAAUGUUAACAUGUGUGAAGUAUUAAAUUAUAUGACUGAAUGUGUACGCUGCAAAAUUAGCUAAAAAUGUCAAAUUAAAAGAUAGCAUGCUAGCAUGGUAACAGUUAACAUGUGUCAAGUAUCAAACUAUAUGGCUAAGGUGUACAGCUGCAAAAUUAGCUAAAAAUUUAAAAUAAAAAGUUAGCAUGCUAAUAUAAGCAUGCUAGAAUGCUAACAUUUAGCAUGCGUAAAGUAUCAAGUUAUACGACUAUGUGUACGGCUGCAAAGUUGCUAAAAAAUUUAAAAUAUAAUGUUAGCAUGUGUCAUGUACCAAGUUAUAUGAUUAAGGUGUAUGGCUGCAAAAUUAGCUAAUCAUGUAAAAUAAAAAGUUAGCAUGCUGACAUAAGCAUGCUAACAUUUAGCAUGUGUUAAGUAUCAAGUUAUAGGACUCUAAUGUGUUCGGCUGCAAAAUAAGCUAAAAAAAAAGUAAACAUGCUAACAUAAGCAUGCUAGAAUGAGCAUGUUAACAUUCAAUAAGUGUAAAAUAUUAAACUAUAUGACUCUUAGCUGUACGGCUGCGAAAUUAGCUAAAAAUGUAAAAUAAAAAGUUAACAUGCUGAUACAAGCAUGCUAACAUUUAGCAUGUGUUAACUAUCAAGUUAUAUGACUAAGGUGUACGGCUGCAAAAUUAGCUAAACAUUUUCAAUAAAAUGUUAGCAUGUGUCAAGUAUUAAAUUAUAUGACUAAAUGUGUACGGCUGCAAAAUUAGCUAAUAAUGUAAAAUUUAAAGUUAGCAUGCUAGCAUGGUAACAGUUAACGUGUCAAGUAUCAAACUAUAUGGCUAAGGUGUACAGCUGCAAAAUUAGCUAAAAAUUUAAAAUAAAAAGUUAGCAUACUAAUAUGAGCAUGCUAGAAUGCUAACAUUUAGCAUGCGUAAAGUAUCAAGUUAUACGACUCUGUGUACGGCUGCAAAGUUGCUAAAAAAAUUAAAAUAUAAUGUUAGCAUGUGUCAUGUACCAAGUUAUAUGACUAAGGUGUACGGCUGCAAAAUUAGCUAAACAUUUUCAAUAAAAUGUUAGCAUGUGUCAAGUAUUAAAUUAUAUGACUAAAUGUGUACGGCUGCAAAAUUGGCUAAUAAUGUAAAAUUUAAAGUUAGCAUGCUAGCAUGGUAACAGUUAACGUGUCAAGUAUCAAACUAUAUGGCUAAGGUGUACGGCUGCAAAAUUAGCUAAAAAUUUAAAAUAAAAAGUUAGCAUGCUAGAAUGCUAACAUUUAGCAUGCGUAAAGUAUCAAGUUAUAUGACUCUGUGUACGGCUGCAAAGUUGCUAAAAAAUUUAACAUAAAAUGUUAGCAUGUGUCAUGUACCAAGUUAUAUGACUAAGCAUGCUAGUAUGAGCAUGUUAACAGUUAAUAUGUGUCAAAUAUUAAACUAUAUGACUCUUAGCCGUAAGGCUGCGAAAUUAGCUAAAAAUAAAAAGUUAGCAUGCUGAUAUAAGCAUGCUAGUAUGAGCAUGUUAACAGUUAAUUUGUGUCAACUAUUAAACUAUAUGACUCUUAGCUGUACGACUUCGAAAUUAGCUAAAAAUGUAAAAUAAAAAGUUAGCAUGCUGACACAAGCAUGCUAACAUUUAGCACGUGUUAACUAUCAAGUCAUAUGACUAAGGUGUACGGCUGCAAAAUUAGCUAAACAUUUUCAAUAAAACGUUAGCAUUUGUCAAGUAUUAAAUUAUAUGACUAAAUGUGUACGGCUGCAAAAUUAGCUAAAAAUGUAAAAUUAAAAAUUAGCAUGCUAGCAUGGUAACAGUUAACAUGUGUCAAGUAUCAAACUAUAUGGCUAAGGUGUACGGCUGCAAAAAUAGCUAAAAAUGUAAAAUAAAAAGCUAAUAUAAGCAUGCUAGAAUGCUAACAUUUAGCAUGCAUAAAGUAUCAAGUUAUAUGACUCUAAUGUGUACGGCUGCAAAGUUGCUAAAAAAUUUAAAAUAAAAUGUUAGCAUGUGUCAUGUACCAAGUUAUAUGAUUAAGGUGUAUGGCUGCAAAAUUAGCUAAUCAUGUAAAAUAAAAAGUUAGCAUGCUAAAAUAAGCAUGCUAACAGUUAACAUGUGUCAAAUAUUAAACUGUAUGACUCUUAGGUGCACAGCUGCAAAAUUGGUGAAAAAAAAAAAGUUAGCAUGCUAAUGUUAGCACUAACAAGUUAGCAGCUGUGUUCCCAAUGACCCAACCCACCACCUGAGGUUUAGGGAAGAUGGGAUCAUGUGUAAGGAAGUUAUACUUUUUCAACAGAAGGGGGCGAUGUUGGUGCGGAUGUUAACGUCUUAAAGCCUCGAGUCAGUUCGAUCAUCUAAAGUGAAGUCAAGAGUUUUUGCCAUUAAGCUCCGGACACUAGGAAUGGAUACCAAAUCGGUACCGAUUUCAAAAUGAAUCGAGUUAGAAUCGGGAAGCAACAUUCCAGUUCCCGGGUUGAGAGUGAACAAUGCUAACAACACGGUCGCUAAACUUGGCGCUGAACAACAUUUUGUUUGAAAAUUCUUGUAAAAAUGUUUUAAAAAUGUAAAAUAAGUGACUUAUCAUUAAUAAUCAUAAUUAUUCCUUUACCACAGACGAGGGACGACUGUCACGGUCAUUAAAGUAACAAAGCAAUAACAUUAGGAAGUGGAAAUAAAAGCCAUAAAGUAGAGUCGAUAUAUUUAUGUUUUACUUUUGUGAUGAAUCAACAAGUUACUGUAGCAGUUGAGUGUUUUACUUUGAAAGUGUUUUAUGUGAUGUUUCUGUGUCGUGUGCUGAUAUUGAGUCCUUCCAAAAUAAAAUGACAGCACCAAAAA